rnacentral:misc_RNA from 1 species
GUGAGUCAUCGAAUCUUUGAACGCACAUUGCGCCCGCCAGCAUUCUGGCGGGCAUGCCUGUUCGAGCGUCAUUUCAACCCUCAAGCGCUGCUUGGUGUUGGGGCCCUACGUCUGACCGUAGGCCCUCAAAGGUAGUGGCGGACCCUCCCGGAGCCUCCUUUGCGUAGUAACUUUACGUCUCGCACUGGGAUCCGGAGGGACUCUUGCCGUAAAACCCCCCAAUUUUUUACAAGGUUGACCUCGGAUCAGGUAGGAAUACCCGCUGAACUUAAGCAUAUCAAUAAGCGGAGGA